rnacentral:rRNA from 1 species
GCGGUCCUACGGGGCGCAGCAGUGGGGAAUAUUGCACAAUGGGGGAAACCCUGAUGCAGCAACGCCGCGUGAGUGAAGAAGUAUUUCGGUAUGUAAAGCUCUAUCAGCAGGGAAGAAGAAAGACGGUACCUGACUAAGAAGCCCCGGCUAACUACGUGCCAGCAGCCGCGGUAAUACGUAGGGGGCAGGCGUUAUCUGGAUUUACUGGGUGUAAAGGGAGCGUAGACGGCGGUGCAAGCCAGAUGUGAAAGCCCGGGGCUCAACCCCGGGACUGCAUUUGGAACUGUGCUGCUAGAGUGUCGGAG